AAAUUGUAGUCUUCAAUCUCGAAAUUUUGGGGAAAAGGUUUUGAAAUGAGAUUUAGAUUCAGCAAAAACCUUAUUACAAACUUAAUAUAAAUUUCCUUAAAUUUAUCGUAAAAAAAAGAUGAGAUGGAUACUGAAUAAAUAAGAUACUGAAAAUAUAAACUUUAAGUGUACUGUAAAGUAAGCUAAUGUGAUUUUUUCCAGUGCACUUUGGACUAUCCUAGAUAAAGACGCACAAAGCGUGUCAGCCCGAGAAACUGCCGCAGGAAGCGGCACCAAGGAGCAACUGGAGCCACAGGAGCAGCGCUCGGAAAAACGUAAAGGGAACAGUCCAACGAACUAGUAGUUGGUGUCCGGUCUGGAAUUGAGCAAUUGUCGGCGGUCGAGGACGGGCCAGAAAUUUAGAGCAGGGCGCUCGGAGGACAUAAAAAACCCCGAUCGGAGCAGAAAAACCAAACAAAACUUGUGACAUACGCACUGCGUCCGUAUGCCAUACGAUUACGCCUCCGAUACGAAAACCCCUGGCAGGAUGCCACUUUCCCUCGCAUUUUUUUCCAUUUUCCUAGCUAAAACCGUUUUGUUUUUUGGACCCGAGAUAGUUGCUGGGAUAAGCAAUUUUCAUUUUGAGAAAAAGCCAGAAUGUGAAUGUGGAUGUGGAUGCGGUGCCGGUUCAAUGGGCCCGGCUCUGAUUUGUUGAAAUCUCUUAUCGCUUUUGCACGGAAAAGUGUUGCCAUGGCAGCCGGAAAAGCCGAGACAGCUCCGGACAGCUGCCGCCGCAUGGAGGCAACUGGAUGGCGUUUCUCGCUAAUUGCCUUGGCAUCGCCAUCGCCAUCGCAAUAGCAAGCGCCUUUUGCCAUCUUGGCCCGUGUCAAACAGCCAACGUUCUUGAUGCCUGUCAAAUGUGGCCCAGACGGGCGGAGGAAUAGGAGCGGAAAACAGGGGAAAGGACCUGAAGGAGGCGCUUCAAGAGCAGCUCAACCGAGCAAAAAAAAAGGAGCAAGGUAGAAAAAGUCAAGCCAAGAAAAAAGAGUCUGUAUACUAAUUUAAGAUAUGCUUCUAAGGCUUUUUGUAACCUGUUAAAAAUAUAUAUGUAAGCUCCUCCACUU
ensembl:ncRNA lncRNA:CR45821 long non-coding RNA:CR45821